GAUUACAGAAUGGGAAGAAUGCCUGUCUCUCCUGAACAGCAGGGACUCCAUGCCUUGGCAGUCCUUGGUCUACCUGUCAGCUGCACCAGCUUCUGCUCUUAGGGGAAAAAUCUCCUUUGCUCAUGGAUUUCCUUCAUCACUGAUUCUGCUUUCUGAAGCUCUCCCUCAAGACCUCCCAGAAUCACAGUGGAGAUUGGGACUGGUCUUCCAGUGGCUGUAUCUCUUUUGAGACUAUUUUCAAUUGGUAUGAAUUCUGGGGGCUAAAGGAGGUUGAGCAAUUGAAACUGUUGGGACAUAUGCUUAAAAGCUCUGUGACCAUAUAACUCCUUAACAAACUUGGUAGGCUUCAAUUCCAUAGGCUAUUAACUCAUGCUUUAGAACCAUUUGAGUCAUCAACCUUGAGCAUGGAAUCUGGCCUUCAAAAUUCUUUAUUCUCUCAACAGGCCUGGGUGCCUGUGCUGGUUUUUGGACACUCCCUUGGUCUCUGCCUCAGGACAAUUUGAAACAAUAGACUUAGCUGGGCACAAUGGCUCACACCUGUGCUUUGGGAGGCUGAGGUGGGAGGAUUGCUUGAAGUCAGGAAUUCAAGACCAGCCUGGCCAACAUGGUGAAACCCUGUCUCUACAAAAAAUACAAAAAUUAGCUGGGCGUAGUGGCACACACCUGUAAUCGCAGCUACUCGGGAGGCUGAGGUACAAGAAUGAGAAUCGCUUGAGCCUGGUGGCUGAGGUUGCAGGUGAGCUGAGAUUGUGCCACUGCACUCCAGCCUGGGCGGCAGUGCAAGACUCUCUGUCUCAGAAAAAAUAAAAUAAAAUAGACUGAGGUAGGGCAGCAACCAUUAAUCUGCUCCUUCCCUGCAGCCACAUCCAAACUGGCAUUCACAAUGAGACUCAUUGUCCCUGUUGCACAGGACGAGAGGUACUUGGGGAGGGCUCAAGGGGUCAUGUGUCUCCUGGAUGCCAUAGUGUCUCCAACUAUGGCUCUUGCUUGCAUCAACAUUAGGUUAGGGAGAUAAUUUGUUUUGUUUUCUUUUUUCCAGAUAUUACAAAAUGUGGAUCUUCAGCUAAGUUUACACUAUAGCUAGAAGAGGCUCUUUUAGCAAAGUGGUGUUUUCUUCUCUCUCUAUCAAAGAGCCAUUUAUUGGGAUAUUAUUAUUAAUUGAAUGUCUAAUUAGUACUUAUUAUAGCUCUUUGAUAGUUACUGCUUAUAUGCUAUGUGUAAAUGCACAUUAUGUUCAGGGCCCCUAAAUAAUUUGCAGAGUUUAGUACAAAAUAAUAAUGCAAGAUUCCUUGUUCAGAAAAAAAAUGCUGUUAGUUAUAUUUACUAAAAUAUAAAACUCCUUUCUUUCCCAGU
rnacentral:lncRNA from 10 species